rnacentral:rRNA from 1 species
GAAGGAACGUUAAAGACGAUGACGUUGAUAGGCCGGGUGUGUAAGCGCAGCGAUGCGUUGAGCUAACCGGUACUAAUGAACCGUGAGGCUUAACCUUAC